UGAGAUGCUGAUAGGAAGGCAGGGCAG
rnacentral:piRNA from 1 species